UACGUAGGGUGCAAGCGUUAAUCGGAAUUACUGGGCGUAAAGCGUGCGCAGGCGGUUUUGUAAGGCUGACGUGAAAUCCCCGGGCUCAACCUGGGAAUUGCGUUGGAGACUGCAAGGCUAGAAUCUGGCAGAGGGGGGUAGAAUUCCACGUGUAGCAGUGAAAUGCGUAGAGAUGUGGAGGAACACCGAUGGCGAAGGCAGCCCCCUGGGUCAAGAUUGACGCUCAUGCACGAAAGCGUGGGGAGCAAACAGG
rnacentral:rRNA from 1 species